rnacentral:rRNA from 1 species
GAUGAACGCUGGCGGCGUGCCUAACACAUGCAAGUCGAGCGGAGCCACAGGGUGAUCCUUCGGGCGAUCCCUAUGACUUAGCGGCGGAUGGGUGAGUAACACGUGGGUAAUCUGCCCUGCACUGGGGGGAUAACAGUUGGAAACGACUGUUAAUACCGCAUAUGCACACGGGGCCGCAUGGCCCUGGGUGGAAAGAUUCAUCGGUGCAGGAUGAGCCCGCGUCGGAUUAACUAGUUGGCAGGGUAACGGCCUACCAAGGUGAUGAUCCGUAGCCGGCCUGAGAGGGCGACCGGCCACAUUGGGACUGAGACACGGCCCAAACUCCUACGGGAGGCUG